rnacentral:tRNA from 1 species
GCCCCUGUAGCCCAACUGGCAGAGGCACCGCGCUCAGAACGCGGCCAGUCCAGGUUCGACUCCUGGCAGGGGCA